AGAAGCGGGCGACUUCACCGACCUCGUCCGCGUGCUGCUGCAGCCGCCGGCCACAGCGCCGAGCUGCUCCCUCCCCGACCUGCUGCUGCUGCCGGUGAGGUCCAACUCCUCUCCCUCCUACUCGUCUUCUUGCCAAAGUUUCCUUCUUUUUGCUGUUGAAUUGAAUCUGUAGGCUGUGGAUGCACCGAUGCAAAUCGUUUUCACUAGUUAAAAUCUGGUGUGUGAAUAGGCAGGCAGUACACGGGCAGAAAAUGGAGUUGCUGCUUUUUUUUUUAAUCGUUUGCUGCUCAUUAUCCGUAGACUCUAGUACCAUAUGGAUUGUACCAAAUGGAGUUGUGCUCGUAGGCAACACUGGAUUUUGUAUGGUCUCUGAUUCGGACCAUAUGCGAUUUUCUCUGCUUAUGCGUAGAUGGUUACAUAGUGACAGUGAUUUUUUUUGGUUGUUUGCUGAUUAUUAUGCAUAGGCCAAUGCUGAAUCUUGCUCUCAUAUCAGGUUCAGAACCCAUGAAUUUUCUUCUUAUGCGUAGACUGUUUGUGCAGAUUUGCUUGACUGCUUGCAUUUGCUAAGUAGUCGAAAUUGCUGUUGGGUGUUCUCUGUGAUGGUGAAAACAUAUGUAAAGUCCGAUGGUCAGAUCCGUUCUAUUACACCAUGUAGACAACCGAGACGUUUGUGUGGAGAGAACGAUGCAUAGUCUUGACCCACGCUAUUUUUCUUAUCUCCUUGUUCGUUUAGUUGUAUUGUUGUGAUAUUGAGGAAAACAAUCGUAUAUACUUUGUCUUGAAGAAAGAUUCGUUUAAUAAUGUGGUUGUUUGGUACUCGUCAUGUACAUACUGUUGACUGCAGUCUCAGGCCACAACUUCUUUGUUUUUGCUUGUUACCAAUCUAGCAAUCUGUUCUGAUCUGAUCAUCACAUGAUGAAUCAAAUAAUAGCACUUAAUUUUUUGCUUAUGUUUCCAACAAGGAGAUGUUCGAUAGAGGUGACCGAGGAGAGCAGCCAGUAAGCAACGGGCAUGGUGGUGGAGGCCAUGUGGCAGAAGGGAAACUGGAAGAGAAUAUCACAAAGGCAAUCACUCAGCAAUGAUGUCUUUUCGGUGUUAUGUUGGUGGCUUCAAGUGGUCCCAUUGUCGUGUGGCGGUGGCGUGAUCAUUACACCACAACUAUGGCGAUGACGGUGGUGUUCUGCUUCAGCUACAACACUAAUUUGGUGGAGCUGGCUAGGCGGUAGCCAUGGCCACCAGAUCUAUCUGGUUGGCAGCGGUGUCCUUCGUCUUCGACUUGGUGGGUUUAGGAUAUCCAGGAGGUGGGGCUAGAUGGCAGCAAAGUACCUUCAGCCUGAUGCAUCAUCUGGAUGUAAAGCCUAAAGAGCCAAUGGAGGAAGGAGCCAUCGUAUACAUGCCUUGCUCUUUGCAGCAGCGUUCUUUAUCCUCCGGAAGUGGCCUUCUUCUCCGCCUCCAGGUCAAGUUUCCGGUUUGUAUCCUUUCUCAUUUGUGUGCUCUGUGAUAGCCCAGGCGUGGAGCUGUAGCUGUAAUGUGCUCCAGCCGUCGAGCAGAUGAAGUGUUGGUUUAGAUUUUGGUGGUGUUGGGAUGGUUUCUAGGAUUUGUUCAUGGCAUGAUCUUGCGGCUAUUAAUCUGGUUACUGACUGCUGUUUUGGUUCUAUAGUACAGGCUCUGGAGCAGAAUUGCCCAUGCUACAUAAUUGCCUAAGUUCACUUUGUUUAUUAUUGUACUUUAGUCUUUGGAUGGUCAUGAUAAGAAUUUCAAACUGGUCUUCUUUCUUGUGUUGAUAAAUCUGGAAUAGAUACAAUCAAAGGUUCAUCUAUUUGUAUUUUACAUGUUCAUGCUAGGUCCAAAUUUUUCCAUGUUAUAGCCGCAAAUUUAUUUGUGAUUCUUGGCAGGGUAGGUAUAUAUAGUUGAUUCUUAGCUCGAAAAUGAUUUGAUCUGCUAUGGUGUUGUGUUCCAGCUAGUCUUCAUUGAACUGCUAGAGUGCUUCCAGGCUUGCAAUAUUUGAUCUGCUAUCCUAUUGUGUUCCAAAUUCGUGGAUAUCUGAUUGGUGCUUUGGAGAAUGGGAUGCUUGUGAGGAUUUAAGCGGCAAGAACUGGACAUGAACUCCCUUACUCCCUUCAUUUAGGAAGGAUAUCCAAUAGGAGGGCUAGAUGACAGCAAGGAACCUGCAGCUUGAUGAUCAAGGGAGGAAGGAGCUGUCUUUAUGCACGCCUUGCUCUGUGCAGCAGCUUUAUUUAUUUACUCUGGUUGUAAUUAAUGGAACGCAGCUGAGAUUUCAGAUUUGGAAGAAUCUCCUAGUAUUGCAUCAUGUCGGUGAUGUAUGUAACCGUGAGCUAGGAUGGGAUUACGUUAACUUGUGCUUUAGUGCAUAAGCUAUGAUUUGAUGCUGAUUGUUGGGCAGUUUUCCAGUUGAUUAAAGCUGCGGUCGAGUUUGUAUGUCACAUGGGCUACUUAUAUUGUCUUGAAUCGAAGUACUAUAUUUGCUUUGCA